ensembl:lncRNA
CUGCUCAAGUACUCCGAGCCCUUAUUCCUGCAUAUAAGCUGAUGUCCUGCUUAGAGUGGAGAUUUACAACCUGCUCACCAUGGGGGUUGCAUCAGUAAGACAUGUGUUCUCCUCGUUCUCAUACAUUAGCUUGUUUUGGGAGGGGAAAAUGGCUGCUCCCUUCAAAGAAAUCCCGGCUUUUGCUGAUGCUAUCUGGCAUUUUCACGGUGUCAUCAUUUUGCAACUCAUUUCGUGAUCCAGGGCAAAUGUGCGUCAGGGCAUUGGGGUUUUGGUAUACCACAGACGUCAUCUGCUUCUCAACUGCCGCUAACUUGAGGAAGUUGUCAAAAAUACAAUUGGUUUCUCCUACAGAGGAAAACACAUGGCUUAGAAAGCAGUGGGAGCUGCCUGUUUUCCUUUUUGGGUGAAGAACAGGAAUUUUCAGAAUUUGGUCAGAAAGUGGUUUGGGCUGUGGGAGAAGUUGGACUUUGAUCCCAGGGAAAAUCAACUUUGAGAUAACAAGCUCUACAAAAACUCCCCAUUUAUUUGGUACAUUCAUUUGUUUUCAACUAUGUAUGUGCACAUAAUGUGAAUGUAACUAUAUAUAUAAAAUGUCUUCCAUCCUUUCCUCUUUGUGACCGUAGCAGGAGGAAGGGCCUUUACAGCAGCCACCAAAGGACUAAGACGUGCGACAGAGGGAACAGCGUGUUCUUCCAGAGCAUGAAGCUUGGCUCUGGUGCUCACUUCAGGUGGUUAUAUGCGUGGCAUAGAUGCCACGAAUGACUCACAGAUGACUGCAGUACUUAAAAUUUCCUACAAGGGGUUGAUCUGAGGUGAACAGAUAGAGGAAGGAGACAUUAUACGUAGCUCUGUGGACUGGUUCUUCAAGGGUGAUGCAGAAGUCAUUUGCAUGUGAAGUUCUCCCUCUGGCAAAGCUUAGUUUUACAGCAAAAUAUUCUCAGGAAUUCUGUUAUAUUGUGAAAGCCAGAUGAGGGAGGCUGCCUGAAAGCAAUACAAGAUGGCCAGUGUAUCUGGCAAACUAGAAACUUCCUGAUGUAUGUGUGAACAUGACCAAAUACUAUCUAAUGUGCCAAACUGCUCUGAAAGCACAUUUGAAUCAGAAUUAAGUUCAUGCAUCUGGGCCAUCCUGCAGCUGCUUCUACAGGAACGUGUUUGGGUCUAUAGUAGCCUUACUUUCAAGCUUGACCUGUCUUCUGUUGCUUGUAUCUCUUUUGGAGAACUAGAAGACCUUCAAAAGAAACAGCUGUGGUUCUUAUAGUCAUCAGUAGUACUUCCAGCUUGUUUCAGAGAUGCAGCUUGCCCAUUCUCUUUCCGUGCUGCAAUUUGAAAGGUUGAAUGGACUCAAGACAUGCCAAAAUGAUGCACAUUUGGUAUCACUAAAAUUUUCAGCACUUACUGCUUGUCACCAUAAGCAGAGUUGUAACCACACAGGUGCUGCAUCAGAAGAGAGAAAAGCUGGAGCCAAUACUAGUGGAAUCAUUUGACCUGACCUCAAUGGCAAGGGGCAGCCCCAUGAUGUGAAGGCUGGAAGUUCCUGUGUCCAAGGGCAAAAGCUUUGGAAAACUCAGAGGGUAAAGUAGCCAUGCGUUUCUCGAGAUCUACAUUCACUUCUACUUUUAGUGGCUUGGACCAAACCUUAAUGUAAGCAACUGCUUUGGCAUGUUGCACUAAAAUUUUAUCUGGAUGGUGUCGCAAUGUCCUUUGAGCUGUGGGAGAAGACAGUGCUUGAAAUAUGCAUGUUUGAGCAAGUUCAACGCAGCUUGCUUUUGCUGGAGCCUGACUUUCUUUCCUGGACAAAGCCAGAGAUUUGUGGAGUCUAAUAAUGUGUCAGCAAACCAACUUGGCAUAUAGAAAUGAGAAGGGCGAGUCCCUGUUCCAGUUGCAUAAAAAUGUCAGUGUGUGUGGGGAGUAGAUGAAGCAAAUUAUAUUUCUUCCAUCUUGUUAAUGACUGUUGGAUGGACAAUGCAGAAGGAUCCCUUUUGCAGGACAAAAAGGCUACAAAAAUAAUAGAAAUGAACGUCUGCAGCUGAAGAGUUUGGCUGGGACUUGAAAAGUUUGCUUUGGGUACGAGCCAGGUCCUGCUGAGGUCUGCAGGAAUUUUGCUCUUGGCCUCAGUGGGACCAAGCUUUCACCCUUGGAGGCCAUGUCCUGAGGAAGAAUUUAGUCUGAAAUAGUUUUCAAAACUUGUAUUGUUUGACUCACAACCAAGCAUUUUGUUGAGACCGAGUGGCUUUGUAUUUCUGAUUGACUCAUGUUGCUCAUCUUAGCAUCCUGCAGCAGUGAUCUCUCAAGGAAAUCCAAGUGUGAGAGAGGAUUGCAUGUAAGGUUCCUAAACCAAAAGCUUCUUGCAGGUCUUCCCAGGUGUCUGCUUAAGCUGUAUAUUUUUGGGAGGAGAUGUGCCUUGGAGCCCCAGCACAUCAGCACACUGCACUGAAGCUAUGGCUGUGACCUGUGGCAUGACUGGGAUAUGCCCAUCCAGACCCUGGUCAUCUUUGAUAGACCCAUCCCUCCAUUCUGCAUAUGAUUCUGUGAUUCAUGGUGAAACAAAUAUUUGAAGGAAGAACAGAGAACUAGUAAAGUGUUUUGAUUUAUACCUCACAUGUAUGCCCUUCCUUAUUACCCCCUUGGUCAUUUUUCCUGUAGACCUCAGAGACCACAUUGAAAAUAACCACUAUCAAAGUGAGGUUUGUGCCAUUCUUCUUCUUCUUCUGAUUAGAGCUAGGAUAACACAUUCAAAUAAUAAGUCUGAAGCUGGGCAUGGGUGGGACAACACUACUGUACUCUUAACACUGCAUGUUCUAGGCAGAUUUAACAUGCAGGUCUUGCAUUGUUGGACUGCACAAGUGUAGUAAUGUUGGAUUUUACUGCUCUAUAUCAACUUGUGAUGAAACGUGGUGACAUCAGCGGAGACAAAGGCCCAUUUCGUAUAAAGCUUGCAGAAACACCAAGUGCUUGUUUGGCCAUUCAGAACACGGAGCUGGGGAAAACAACUUGCUCAGUUCACAGCCCUGAAUCCUCUGGAGAUGCGUGGCUGGGUUAUUUCCUUGAUAUUCUGUGAUAUUAUGACCUGUUCUAAUAGCACAGGAUCAUAGAACUGUAGGAGUUGGAAGGGAGGAUUAUUGAGUUCCAGCCCCUGCUAAAGCAGAUUCCAUACAGGAGGUUGCACAGAACAGUAUCCAGACCCAAAGAAGGAGACUCCACAACCUCUGUGGUCAGCCUGUCACAUUUAAGCAGUUUAUAGUUAUCAUGAUUUAAGAUUUUCCUCCCAAAGUCAAUUGGUUUCACAGUAGACCCCAACAAAUCAGUAUUUUUGUUUUGCUGAAAUGGAGUGUGAUAUCAUUUUAAUGGCUCCUUUCUGAAAACCUUGAAAGCUGCUUAAGAAACAGAUUCACAGUGUAUGGGCUCGAAAACUAUCCCAUUCUGGUGCACUUGAAGUUGUCGAGCACAGAGUGCAUAAUUUAGAAUUGAAAAGAAAAAGAUGUAUCUGUGAAUUAAGGACUGCAAUACAGGAGCUAUCAACCACCAAGAGGCUCUUUUAACCUCAGCAGAGCUGUGCUCUUUAAUGUGUUUUUGUGGGGAAGAAGAAUAAAAAGGAAAUCUGAGAAAACUGAUCUUUAUUUUUAGAAAAAUAAUUUCUUUUUGCUAAGGAGGACUUUUUAUUUUCUGUGCUCUAAAUAAAGCAGUGAUAUGGUCCUGUUGUGCCUCAGGCUAUCCGCUUAAAAGAAAAGGCUCCAAAGAUGGACCAUCUGGAAGCCUGUGCAAGAGCACGCCAGUGCUGUUUGAUGUGGAAGAGCAUCCUUUGGAUGUAUUUUUGCACACUGCUCAAUCCGCUGAAGUUUUUUUUGUGUGUGUUGAGCUGAUGGGAACAUCUCAGAGGAUUUUGCUUCAUGUGUUAAUGCUGCUUGCUUCUUUUUUCAUUAAAUGAAAGCUGGGAAGCAGUGUUUCUCUCUAGAAGCACUUUCGAGAUCUGCAGGUGAUCACAACGCAAAGGGAGUCAGUUGCACAUUCUUGGCCAGAUCUGCUCUUUCCAGGGCACAACAAGAACUUCCUCCUCUUCCCAUUUUUUUCUGGGAUGCCUGGGAUCUCCUUGGUUCCUGCGAGGCCAAAAAAGUUCUCUGUUUUGUUGUUGUGGUGGUGUUUUUUUGUUCAGGACUUUGCCUGAUGUACUUUGUUUCAGUGCUGCAUCUGAGAUGAGGAGAAAUUCACCCCUGGUUCUGGGAUAAGGGGUUCACCCCCACCCCAUGCAGUGUUUCUCUGAGCUUAUGUUCUCAGAUGUUCAAGUCCCAUCCCUGCACAUACCGGUGCCCUUUUGGCUCAACCUGCACAUCUGACAGCCUAUGCACUUUGCCCUCCCAUUAAGAGGCUACUCGUGUAAGGAAUUAGGGUCUUGUAGUUACAAGCUUUUGCAGGGAAACAAAACCACUCUUUUCUUUAGAUGAAUGUUGGACAACUCUUUUUUGUUUGUUUGUUUUGAUGGAAACUUGUGAAAUAAGCAAGAUCAACUCCACCUCCUAAAAUGAGCUCUCAGUGUUUCGUGCCGCCUCCAAGAGAUUACUUUUUAUUUUGGGGGGGGAGGGUCAGGGAUGUGGGCCAAAGUGGGACGUUUGCAAGCUGGUGAAUCUUCUGAAAAGGACAAGUGUAGGCACUUUGUCUCCUCUCAGCAUGGCCAGCGUGGAAAGCAGUGAAGGACUAAAGGACAUCGCAGUGUCGUGGACAUUCGUGCCACUAACUGCUGUUGCUUUCACCAGCCAUAUGUACAGCUGCGUUCUUUUUAUAGUGCUGCAUAUGGCACUAUCGUAAUUGAAUUUUUCUUAAUAAUUGAUCUGACCUGUAUCAUUCUGUUCAUUUUAGGAGAGCUAAUUCAAGCAGAUUGAGAUUAGGACUAAAAAUAUGGUUUGGUUAGCGGAGGAACCAUAAAGAGCGCGACUUCACAGUAAUGAUGACACACAAUCUGUUUUACCCAGAUAGGCUCAUACUAUUUAUAUGUAGCACACUGUCAAGGCUGGUGCCUUGUCUGCCUUCCAGUAGCUGCGAUACAUGGGGUAGUGGCAGUCCUGUGCUGAAGAGCACUCUAAUUCCAUGUUUUGGGACCUUCCCACCUUAUCACUUCCUCUGGCAAGGCUGUGGGGUCCAAGAUUGCAGCUGAUGGCCCUGUCUCUGUUGUAGUAACUCUCCAACUUGCCCAUCCAUGUGAGGAAUUGGAUCUGCACUGUCCCAGCCCUGGGCAGGGGAAACGCGAGUCUCUAGCAUGGUGAGCUUAGCUUCUCACAGCAAGCUAUGGAAAUAGCAAUGAAAUUGGAAUAGGUGAGCUGGAUCCUGCCUCAUGUUUAGAAAUGAAAACCCUAGGGUAGUCUCUGAAUUGCCCUUUGCUGAAAAGGAUUUUGGCUGUUUGGUUCAGACUCCCGAAUGUAGGAACGGCGGAGGUGGGACUGCAGACAACUAAGAAAGUUAGAAACGGCCCAUACGAUUAGGAUGCUGCAAAACGAGUGGCAGCUCUUUCUCUCCCAGAGCUCUCAGCUGCAGCUGAGUAUCUGGACCAGACGUUAUUUUUGGCAAGAGGAAAAAAUAAAUCUCCCUUGAUACUGUGCAAAAAAAAAAAUGAAAGUAAAUGUUGAGACAUACACGAGGGCAAGGAUCUCCUCUGUUGUGUGGCAGCAGUGCUUUUAGAACUGAAAUCCACUUGCUUUGAUCACUGAUUAAAAAAAAUGGACAUAAAAGGGAUUUAUUGUGAAAUAAUGGAUUUGAUCCCCAGUAAUCCUUUCUUUGGGAUUAGACUUGGAAUAUUAUUUUUGUGAUCUGUGGAAUUAGACCAUGCUGGCAUGACAGACCAAAGCACGUGAGUUUAACUGCAGGAUGAGGCUGAGCUGCAAACAGAGUGAAUUACUUGCACAGAACAAAGCAGCUGAUAAAUCUACAGCUCUGUAUUUAAUGACGCAAGAUCCACAUGCAAGCAUAGAAACAGAAAAAAAAAAUCCUAAACUGAAGGCAGGAAAGACCCCUUCUUCCCAGCUGACACUGCAGAGAAACACUGUGAUCACAGAAUCAUUGAAUCAUAGAAUGGCUUGGGUUGGAAGGGACCUCAAGGAUCACCGAACUCCAACCCCUGUACCAUAGGCGAGGUUGCCAACUGCGUGAUCUCUGUGGACUGCUGGCUAGAGCUUCUGGUUUGAGUAUUUUCUGCCACAAGAACUACAAUUUGUAGCUGCUCCCAAUGGAAUGACUGAGGGACUUAGAAUGUCGGUGCAAACUCGGUGCAGGUCUUCAUGUAUGGCCACAAAACUUCCCAGUGAGAUUUGGCAAGCCCCAGGCUCGCUGCCCAAACAGUGCCUGCGUGCACAGCUCCUUGGUCUCCCAGCACACUGCUGAUUUGGCCUGAUGUGUGCUGAGAAGUCCUCCUGAGUGGUUCGUUAUGGGUAUAUUAUAACAAAAUAGGUACAAAAUGUGCUAUGAAUCCCUGGUAUGUAACUUUGAAGUCCCAAACCUUUCACAAAAAGCAACUGCAAGGAACUCCUCUCACUUCUCCUGCCAGAUUUUGACUCUGAACUCAAAGUGGGGCUGGAGAUGGCUUUUAAAACAGAGGGAGAGUUCCUUUGUGUUGUGCUCUGAAUCAGCUGAUCUUCAAAACAAAACAAAACAAAACACAAAAGCUGUGGGACAGAGAGCAAGCGAAGGAAAGGUAAAAUAUCCCCUGCCAGACCCAUUCCUGCUUUCGCUGCUGGACUCACAGCCACACUUCUGUUUGCAAAGGUCACUCCUGCAGCAGGACAUGGCCCAGGCUCCUGCCUUGCACAGCCGUGGGAGCUGCUGGGCACAUCAGCACCCCUAAGCAUAACCCAG